AUCCGGCUGACGAGUCCCAAAUAGGACGAAACGUGCAUCAAACUGGAU
rnacentral:hammerhead_ribozyme from 1 species